AGAGAGUUCAAGAGUACGUGAAACCGUUCAGGGGUAAACGGGAGAAAUCCUGAAUUCGAAGGGGAUUGGAUUCAAUUCCGCCCGGCUGUGCAGGCCACCUGGCCCCACCAGAUGGCGCUGGUCGCCCACGGUGAUUUAUUUCACUUGUGGUGUCGUUCCCGGCGAUCACUCGGUGGGGUGGUGUCGCUCUGUCACCGGAGGAGUGCACUUCCCCCCUUGCAGAAACGUCGCGACCCAUUGGGUGCCGGUCUAAGGCUCGGGAUGGCAGCCCACACGUCCUUUGUUUACUCAUAGGCAUGUGGACCCCUGUUGACCCGGCCGGCUACUCGAUGGUAUGACCAGAGGAGUCGAUCCGCUGAAUGGAAACACUGUGGUUGUGUAGCGUCCGGCCCGGCGCCGACACGUGCGGGGAAUGUGGUGUAAACCAGAGGUGCCCGUGCAGAAGCACGGCCCUGGCCCCGCUGCGUUGUUGGAAUUGUCGGUGUCCUCGGACUGGAUCAGCACUCCCGUCGGCGACGCCCACCUUCGGAUGGUCUCC
rnacentral:rRNA from 1 species